GUGAUAGUCCCGUAUGCGAAAAACAAACCUUAGCUAGCAGUAUCCUGAGUAGGGCGGGACACGAGGAAUCCUGUCUGAAUCCGGGUCGACCACGAUCCAACCCUAAAUACUAAUACCAGAUCGAUAGUGCACAAGUACCGUGAGGGAAAGGUGAAAAGAACUGAGGUGAUCAGAGUGAAAUAGAACCUGAAACCAUUUGCUUACAAUCAUUCAGAGCCCUAUGUAGCAAUACAGGGUGAUGGACUGCCUUUUGCAUAAUGAGCCUGCGAGUUGUGGUGUCUGGCAAGGUUAAGCAAACGCGAAGCCGUAGCGAAAGCGAGUCUGAAUAGGGCGCUUAGUCAGAUGCUGCAGACCCGAAACGAAGUGAUCUAUCCAUGAGCAAGUUGAAGCUAGUGUAAGAACUAGUGGAGGACUGAACCCAUAGGCGUUGAAAAGCCCCGGGAUGACUUGUGGAUAGGGGUGAAAGGCCAAUCAAACUUCGUGAUAGCUGGUUCUCUCCGAAAUAUAUUUAGGUAUAGCGUUGUGUCGUAAUAUAAGGGGGUAGAGCACUGAAUGGGCUAGGGCAUACACCAAUGUACCAAACCCUAUCAAACUCCGAAUACCUUAUAUGUAAUCACAGCAGUCAGGCGGCGAGUGAUAAAAUCCGUCGUCAAGAGGGAAACAACCCAGACUACCAGCUAAGGUCCCUAAAUCUUACUUAAGUGGAAAACGAUGUGAAGUUACUUAAACAACCAGGAGGUUGGCUUAGAAGCAGCCAUCCUUUAAAGAAAGCGUAAUAGCUCACUGGUCUAGUGAUUUUGCGCGGAAAAUAUAACGGGGCUAAAGUAAGUACCGAAGCUGUAGACUUGCACACAACUUAGAUUAUUUAAGUUUAGAAUAUGAGAAACUAAGUUAUAUGUUUAGUUAUAUUUUUACUGAUUUUUAUAGAGUAAAGAUAGAAAUAAAACUUAGUAAAAUCAGUAAAAAUAUUCUUAGACUAAAGUUAAGUAGUUUAAGUUGUGUGCAAGUGGUAGGAGAGCGUUCUAUUUGCGUCGAAGGUAUACCGGUAAGGAGUGCUGGAGCGAAUAGAAGUGAGCAUGCAGGCAUGAGUAGCGAUAAUUAAUGUGAGAAUCAUUAACGCCGUAAACCCAAGGUUUCCUACGCGAUGCUCGUCAUCGUAGGGUUAGUCGGGUCCUAAGUCGAGUCCGAAAGGGGUAGACGAUGGCAAAUUGGUUAAUAUUCCAAUACCAACAUUAGUGUGCGAUGGAAGGACGCUUAGGGCUAAGGGGGCUAGCGGAUGGAAGUGCUAGUCUAAGGUCGUAGGAGGUUGUACAGGCAAAUCCGUAUAACAAUACUCCGAGAACUGAAAGGCUUUUUGAAGUCUUCGGAUGGAUAGAAGAACCCCUGAUGCCGUCGAGCCAAGAAAAGUUUCUAAGUUUAGCUAAUGUUGCCCGUACCGUAAACCGACACAGGUGGGUGGGAUGAGUAUUCUAAGGCGCGUGGAAGAACUCUCUUUAAGGAACUCUGCAAAAUAGCACCGUAUCUUCGGUAUAAGGUGUGGUUAGCUUUGUAUUAGGAUUUACUCCGAAAGCAAGGAAACUUACAACAAAGAGUCCCUCCCGACUGUUUACCAAAAACACAGCACUCUGCUAACUCGUAAGAGGAUGUAUAGGGUGUGACGCCUGCCCGGUGCUCGAAGGUUAAUUGAUGGGGUUAGCAUUAGCGAAGCUCUUGAUCGAAGCCCGAGUAAACGGCGGCCGUAACUAUAACGGUCCUAAGGUAGCGAAAUUCCUUGUCGGUUAAAUACCGACCUGCAUGAAUGGCGUAACGAGAUGGGAGCUGUCUCAAAGAGGGAUCCAGUGAAAUUGUAGUGGAGGUGAAAAUUCCUCCUACCCGCGGCAAGACGGAAAGACCCCGUGGACCUUUACUACAGCUUGACACUGCUACUUGGAUAAGAAUGUGCAGGAUAGGUGGGAGGCUUUGAGUAUAUGACGCCAGUUGUAUAUGAGCCAUUGUUGAGAUACCACUCUUUCUUAUUUGGGUAGCUAACCAGCUUGAGUUAUCCUCAAGUGGGACAAUGUCUGGUGGGUAGUUUGACUGGGGCGGUCGCCUCCCAAAUAAUAACGGAGGCUUACAAAGGUUGGCUCAGAACGGUUGGAAAUCGUUCGUAGAGUAUAAAGGUAUAAGCCAGCUUAACUGCAAGACAUACAAGUCAAGCAGAGACGAAAGUCGGUCUUAGUGAUCCGGUGGUUCUGUGUGGAAGGGCCAUCGCUCAAAGGAUAAAAGGUACCCCGGGGAUAACAGGCUGAUCUCCCCCAAGAGCUCACAUCGACGGGGAGGUUUGGCACCUCGAUGUCGGCUCAUCGCAUCCUGGGGCUGGAGCAGGUCCCAAGGGUAUGGCUGUUCGCCAUUUAAAGCGGUACGCGAGCUGGGUUCAGAACGUCGUGAGACAGUUCGGUCCCUAUCUGCCGUGGGCGUAAGAAGAUUGAAGAGAUUUGACCCUAGUACGAGAGGACCGGGUUGAACAAACCACUGGUGUAGCUGUUGUUCUGCCAAGAGCAUCGCAGCGUAGCUAAGUUUGGAAAGGAUAAACGCUGAAAGCAUCUAAGCGUGAAGCCAACUCUAAGAUGAAUCUUCUCUAAGCUCUCUAGAAGACUACUAGUUUGAUAGGCUGGGUGUGUAAUGGAUGAAAGUCCUUUAGCUGACCAGUACUAAUAGAGCGUUUGGCUUAUCUUUAAUAAAGCAU
rnacentral:rRNA from 1 species